GCGUCCUUCGUAUAAUGGCUAUUACCUUAGCCUUCCAAGCUAAUGAUGUCGGUUCGAUUCCGAUAGGACGCUUAA
rnacentral:tRNA from 11 species